GCCGGGAUAGCUCAGCUGGGAGAGCGACAGACUGAAGCUUGUGUAGCAUCAUUCUGCAGGUCAGGUGUUCGAGCCACCUUCCUGGCA